GAUGAACGCUGGCGGCGUGCUUAACACAUGCAAGUCGAACGGAAAGGCCCAAGCUUGCUUGGGUACUCGAGUGGCGAACGGGUGAGUAACACGUGGGUGAUCUGCCCUGCACUUCGGGAUAAGCCUGGGAAACUGGGUCUAAUACCGGAUAGGACCACAUUUUGGAUGGUGUGGUGGAAAGUUUUUCGGUGUGGGAUGAGCUCGCGGCCUAUCAGCUUGUUGGUGGGGUAAUGGCCUACCAAGGCGUCGACGGGUAGCCGGCCUGAGAGGGUGUACGGCCACAUUGGGACUGAGAGACGGCCCAGACUCCUACGGGAGGCAGCGGGGGGGAAUAUGGCACAAUGGGGGCAAGCCUGAUGCAGCGACGCCGCGUGGGGGAUGACGGCCUUCGGGUGGUAAACUCCUUUCGCUGGGGACGAAGCGAAAGUGACGGUACCUGGAGAAGAAGCACCGGCUAACUACGUG
rnacentral:rRNA from 1 species